CCUACGGGUGGCAGCAGUGGGGAAUUUUGCGCAAUGGGGGAAACCCUGACGCAGCAACGCCGCGUGCGGGACGAAGGCCCUCGGGCUGUAAACCGCUUUCAGCAGGGAAGACGUCGACGGUACCUGCAGGAGAAGCUCCGGCUAACUACGUGCCAGCAGCCGCGGUAAUACGUAGGGGGCGAACGUUAUCCGGAUUCAUUGGGGGAAAAGCGCGCGUUGGCGGCCGCCUAAGCGGAACUUUUAACCCCGGGGGUCAACCCCGGGCCGGGUUCCGGACUGGGCGGCUAGAGUGCGGUAGAGGAGAGCGGAAUUCCCGGUGUAGCGGUGGAAUGCGCAGAUAUCGGGAAGAACACCGAUGGCGAAGGCGACUCUCUGGGCCGUCACUGACGCUGAGGCGCGAAAGCUGGGGGAGCGAACAGGAUUAGAUACCCUAGUAGUC
rnacentral:rRNA from 1 species